GGUUGAUCCUGCCAGUAGUCAUAUGCUUGUCUCAAAGAUUAAGCCAUGCAUGUCUAAGUAUAAAUAGUAUACAGUGAAACUGCGAAUGGCUCAUUAAAACAGUUAUAGUUUAUUUGAUAAUCUUCUACAUGGAUAACCGUGGUAAUUCUAGAGCUAAUACAUGCUGUUGACCUGACUCACGAAAGGUCGUAUUUAUUAGAUACAAAACCAAUUGCCGCAAGGUAAUUGUGAUGAAUCACAGUAACUGAUCGAAUCUCGGCUUGCCGAGAUAGGUCAUUCAAGUUUCUGCCCU
rnacentral:rRNA from 1 species